GUCAAGUUCGACCUUAGAGGCAACAGUCCCUUCACCAAGAAACUUCUUUUCCAAAAAGAUUGCCUUAAGGCUGACAAACACUUUUUGCUCAUCAGCUAGGUAGAAGUAAUAUCCUUUGGUCUCUUUUGGGUACCCUAUAAAAUUAUACUUGUCAGACCUAGGUCCAAGCUUGUCCGUAAUUAAAUAUUUCACAUAAGUUGG
rnacentral:lncRNA from 1 species